UACGUAGGGUGCGAGCGUUAAUCGGAAUUACUGGGCGUAAAGCGUGCGCAGGCGGUUCGUUAAGUUCGAUGUGAAAGCCCCGGGCUCAACCUGGGAACUGCAUUGGAAACUGGCGAGCUUGAAUGCGGCAGAGGGGGGUGGAAUUCCGCGUGUAGCAGUGAAAUGCGUAGAGAUGCGGAGGAACACCGAUGGCGAAGGCAGCCCCCUGGGCCGACAUUGACGCUCAGGCACGAAAGCCAGGGGAGCAAACGGG
rnacentral:rRNA from 1 species